GCUGAUAAAACAAGUAGAAAAAAAAAGUAAAAUAACGAAAAUACCGAACCCCAAAGAAAAGUGAAAUUGUCACCCACUAGGACAAUAUUAUACUAACAUAUUAAACAUAUAUAAUAUACAUAAUAUACCAAUAUUGUUUUUAAAUUGUAGUAUGCGCAAACCCCAGUUUAGAAUAAGUCUUCAUCAGCUUUUACUCGCUCAUUUUGGUGGACCUCUGGAAUUAUCAGCACUUACAAAAGAGGCAUUGUUACAGAUAUCGGCUACACGAAACAUGUCUACAAAUUAUAAUACUGGAUCAAUGCAGAUUACACUACGGACAGCUAAAGACAACUGUACUUUGAAAUUAACUAUUUAUAUUGGUCCACGGCAAAAGGAAAGAAUCAAUCAAAUGACAAGAUUCACAUGGAGGUCCUCAGAUGCCUGCGAUCCACGAAACAUGGACAUUGACCUCGCCAAGUACUAUAAUGAAAAGUUUGGGAAACCAGAAACAAACGAAUGAAUGACGCUUGGUGUCAUAAUGAGUUGCUUUCAUCGUAUGGACACAUGUCAUAUAUAAGCCACUGGAUAUUUGUAAAUAACAAUUAUCAAUCAACCAAACACAUUAAAAUAUUUUCUUAAUUGUGAUUCAGUGAAAUAUGUAGCAUGUAUAAAUUUGUCUUUGAUUGUAUUCGAUACCACUGUGAUAUUAUAUAUUUGACAAUUGCACUCGUAAAGAUUUAUCUAUAUAUACUGCAAGUACCUUUUCCAUUAUUUUGACUUUACAUAUUCAAAUAAUAUAUAGUUAUAAAAUAACGGGACUUUGUGUAAAUAAAUAAAGACCAUUCACAAUGACAAAUUAACAAAAGCCAAAAAAACCUCGAAAUGUAUAUAUAUUUCUGAUUUUUGUGCGUAGAAUUGAUGUCUAAUUAACGUAUACUCACCUUUUAUUCAUUUCGUACGGUAUGCAUUGUUCUUUGAUAAUAAAUCCAUGAAAUAUAAUCUUUGCAAAAAGAAACCAACCGGAUCGCUCAUUAGAAGCUGUAUCUAAAAAUGCUUUUCGGACGCACAAUGUUAUAAUGAUUUGAACAUUUUCGAUCAUUUAUCAGCAAAAGUAUCAAUUUGAUUACAAAAAUAUACCUGUUCAUAUUGUUACAAAACAAAAUGAAUAAUAAUUUUUAAACGAUAGAUCUGGAAUCAUUUAAAGCCUACCAGUAGUGACCCAGCCCUAAAUAUCAAAAAGUGGCGUUUGAUAAGCAGGUAGAGCUUUCUCCAUUACACAUGUUAUAUACUUGUAUAAAACCGUACUUUUUUGAUAAGUAGAUAGUUGCUGGUAUAGUUUAUGAAUACACAUAUUGUUACAAAUAAAGGUAAGGGUUAAGGGUAAUAAGUAUAUUUAUGUAAAGCCAUGAUUAUUCUUUUCUUAUUAUCCAGACUGCACUUUUUCUGUUUUACUUUGCUCCCUGUCGCGGCCGUUACAGUCUGGAUAAUUUAUUGUGUGACUGAGAUUGUAUGUACGAACACUGUUAUAUUUCAGGUAUCGUGUCCGAAUUAUAUUUUUAUUGUAUGUAUUUAUUGUUAUAUUUAUUGGGAAUGAUACAAUAUAGAGUUCGUCUCACUGUUUGUCCAAAGAGGGGUCCCGACAUGUUCCCAGCUUUAUUUCUCCCCGGGUUAUCAUUGUCACGCUUUCUCACCUUUAUCGUAUAUUUAUAUAAGGGAUAUAUAUUGUAACUGGGCAUAUCCUUUGUUAAUGCAAAGCUUCCAUCGUCCACUUUUCCUUUUAUUCCCUAGACUUAUCCUACGUUUACUGGAGGCCGCCAUUUAUUUACCUUGUGUCCGCAUGUGCUUGCCAUGGGAAAAAAAGACGACACACGACCUAUAACCUUGUGGGCAAUCAACCAAUCAAUUACCGUAGAAUGGCUCACUUAUACCAUGGGGAUGUGGGUUGUGGGCUCUAAGUAUAAAAAAGGACACCAUUCGUCUGCUCUGGUUCUAAGAUUGCAGCCCGAUACCAGGGACUUAUUAUACCUUAACCCUGUGCUUAAAUACCAGAGCAAUACCACCCGCAAUCCAUACAAAUCACCACCAGAUUAUUCUGAGCAGGUUUCUCCUUAUAAUAUAUAGACUGUCCUGUGUGACCUAGAUUAUUUUACUACGUCUAGAGUGCAUUUACAACCGAAAUACCAAACACCAUGAUUGAAGCUUGACGUUCAAAGGGGUGUCUCUGUACAGUUUAUUGCUCUGGAGUUUUUACAUUAUAAAUUUGUAUGAAUUAUCAUCUAUUUGAACAUAUUAAAUUAAUUGAGAGUUGA